rnacentral:ncRNA from 2 species
GCCGUCGAGGAGCGUUGCGACGGGUACCGCGAAUCAAACUAUUCGCCGGCCGCCCGCCAGGCUCGAAGGCUUCAAUCGGAGGGUCGAAUGCGCGUAGCGCUUUCGCCACCACCGCAUCGAACCGCGCUCACGUCAA